AGAGCCGGGUGAAGUUUUGAAGCAAGUGACUAGAUCUAUAAUACAGAUAAAAGAAAAAGUAUUAUAGAUCUAGUCACUUGCUUCAAAAUUUCACCCGCC